rnacentral:pre_miRNA from 1 species
GGAGAGGAGGAAGCAGACGGAACGCUCAAGAGAGGAGGAGGUUACCGUCUCUCUUCCCCAGCGUUCCGUCUGCUUCCUCCUCUCCC